rnacentral:rRNA from 1 species
UACGGAGGGUGCGAGCGUUGUCCGGAAUCAUUGGGCGUAAAGGGCGCGUAGGUGGCCUGGCAAGCGUGCGGUGAAAGCUCGGGGCUCAACCCCGAGUCGGCCGUGCGAACUGCUAUGGGCUCGAGCACUGUAGAGGCAGGCGGAAUUCCGGGUGUAGCGGUGGAAUGGCGUAGAUAUCGAGAGGAACACCUGCGGCGAAGGCGGGUUGCUGGGCUGACACUGACGCUGGACAAGCGGCGAAAGCUAGGGGAGCGAACGGG